UUUAUUUGGAGAGUUUGAUCCUGGCUCAGGAUGAACGCUGGCGGCGUGCCUAAUACAUGCAAGUCGAGCGAAUG
rnacentral:rRNA from 1 species